CAGACGAUGCGUCAUGCAUAUCAAUAAGCGGAGGAAAAGAAACUAACAAGGAUUCCCCUAGUAACGGCGAGUGAAGCGGGAAGAGCUCAAAUUUGAAAUCUUAAAGGGUUUCCCUUUACGAAUUGUAGUUUAAAGAAGUGUUUUCUGUUGAGGUUUUGGUAAAAGUUCUUUGGAAUAGGACAUCAUAGAGGGUGAGAAUCCCGUAUUUGACCUUUACUUUCAACUUUGUGAUACACUUUCAAAGAGUCGGAUUGUUUGGGAAUGCAGUCCAAAAUGGGUGGUAAAUUUCAUCUAAAGCUAAAUAUUGGCGAGAGACCGAUAGCGAACAAGUACCGUGAGGGAAAGAUGAAAAGAACUUUGAAAAGAGAGUUAAACAGUACGUGAAAUUGUCAAAAGGGAAGCGUUUGACACCAGUGUUGUUUUUCUGAAAAUCAAUUAAAGAACUGUUUAUGCUAAGCUGUUUAGACUUUAUCAGCUAUACUGUUUAGUUUUGAGCUUUUCUUUAAUGCACUUUUCAGUUAACAAGUCAACAUCAAUUUCUUUUGCUGUAAAAAAGCUUGAGGAAGGUGGCUUGAGAUUCGUCUUAAGUGUUUAUAGCCUCUUGCCUAUGCAGUCGGAGAGAUUGAGGUCUGCAGCGUAGAUCCUUCGGGGCUAAAUGCAUUUGUGCUAAGUUAUAGCAUUUUAUAGACAACUUGUUGACUAUGAUUUGUCUUGUAGCUUACUCGCUUAUGUUAUUUUACCUACGCUUAGGAUGUUGAGCGCAUGUCUCUCUCU
rnacentral:rRNA from 1 species